rnacentral:rRNA from 1 species
GACGAACGCUGGCGGCGUGCUUAACACAUGCAAGUCGAACGGAAAGGCCCUGCUUUUGUGGGGUUCUCGAUUGGCGAACGGGUGAGUAACACGUGAGUAACCUGCCCUUGACUUUGGGAUAACUUCAGGAAACUGGGGCUAAUACCGGAUAGGAUCUCCUGCUGCAUGGUGGGGGUUGGAAAGUUUCGGCGGUUGGGGAUGGACUCGCGGCUUAUCAGCUUGUUUGUGGGGUAGUGGCUUACCAAGGCUUUGACGGGUAGCCGGCCUGAGAGGGUGACCGGCCACAUUGGGACUGAGAGACGGACCAGAAUCCUACGGGAGGCAGCAGUGGGGAAUAUUGCACAAUGGGCGGAAGCCUGAUGCAGAAACGCCGCGUGCGGGAUGCCGGCCUUCGGGUUGUAAACAGAUUUCGCCUGUGCCGAAGCGUGAGUGACGGUAAUGGGUAAAGAAGCACCGGCUAACUACGUG